rnacentral:lncRNA from 10 species
UUUAUCAACUGUAUGGUAGUAUUCCAGUGUGAAUGCAUGUGGAAAAGGUAUAACACUUCCCAUCUGAGGCACUCAAGAAAAGGCGUGAGUUCUCUACCUUCUCUCUCCCAUCCACCUGGCUGACAGAGUUGGAGGAUGGAAGUGUCCUGGAUUCCUAACAGAAACUGCCAGAGUGCUGCCCAACCCUCAGGAGACUGACACAGGUGCCAUGCUCUACACAGAAGCUCACAGGAUUGUGCUACCCAUUCCUGUCUUAAAAUAUUAAAGACCUCACUGCUUUCAGCAUAAAAAUAUGAAAGAUGGGCCCUGGGUGGUCUGACUGCUGCUUCUCUCUCUUUCCUUAUCUUGCACCAUAUUCUUUCUCACUCUCAUCACUCCAGCUAUACUAGCUUUUGAAUUCCCUGUAUAUGCCAUGCUCCCUCACUCCCUGUUCAGGGGCCCUGCAGGGUCUCUAAAUAAGCUAUUCCCACUGCCCGAAAUGCUCUUCCCUCCUCUCAUUGCCUAGUUACCUCUGUCUUACCCUUACCCUUCGUACUUUAGCUCAACAGUCAUUUCCUUCCCCUUUCCCCAGUUUAGGUCAAAGGUAUCAUUAUAUAUUCUCAUAGAAUUAUCUACCUUUCCUUUGUUGUAUCUAUCACAGUCAUAAUUUUGCACUUAUUUGCAUAAUUAUUUGAUUACU